CCCUUAGAUGUUCUGGGCUGCACGCGCGCUACACUGAAGCGUUCAACGAGUAUUCACCUUGCCCGGGAGGGUUGGGUAAUCUUUUGAAAACGCUUCGUGAUGGGGAUAGAUUAUUGCAAUUAUUAAUCUUCAACGAGGAAUUCCUAGUAAGCGCGAGUCAUCAGCUCGUGCUGAUUACGUCCCUGCCCUUUGUACACACCGCCCGUCGCUCCUACCGAUUGAGCGAUCCGGUGAAUAAUUCGGACUGCAGCACUGCUUGGUCUCCAGGCUUUGCAGCGGAAAGUUUAGUGAACCUUAUCACUUAGAGGAAGGAGAANUCGUANCA
rnacentral:rRNA from 1 species